rnacentral:rRNA from 1 species
UAAAAAGCGGCGGACGGGUGAGUAAUGCGUAGGAAUCUACCCGGUAGUGGGGGAUAACCUGGGGAAACCCAGGCUAAUACCGCAUACGUCCUACGGGAGAAAGGGGGCUUUGGCUCCCGCUAUCGGAUGAGCCUAUGCCGGAUUAGCUGGUUGGUGAGGUAACGGCUCACCAAGGCGACGAUCCGUAGCUGGUCUGAGAGGAUGAUCAGCCACAUCGGGACUGAGACACGGCCCGAACUCCUACGGGAGGCAGCAGUGGGGAAUAUUGGACAAUGGGGGCAACCCUGAUCCAGCCAUGCCGCGUGUGUGAAGAAGGCCCUCGGGUUGUAAAGCACUUUCAGCGAGGAAGAACGCCUGGUGGUUAAUACCCGCCAGGAAAGACAUCACUCGCAGAAGAAGCACCGGCUAACUCCGUGCCAGCAGCCGCGGUAAUACGGAGGGUGCAAGCGUUAAUCGGAAUUACUGGGCGUAAAGCGCGCGUAGGUGGCUUGAUAAGCCGGUUGUGAAAGCCCCGGGCUCAACCUGGGAACGGCAUCCGGAACUAUCAGGCUAGAGUGCAGGAGAGGAAGGUAGAAUUCCCGGUGUAGCGGUGAAAUGCGUAGAGAUCGGGAGGAAUACCAGUGGCGAAGGCGGCCUUCUGGACUGACACUGACACUGAGGUGCGAAAGCGUGGGUAGCAAACAGGAUUAGAUACCCUGGUAGUCCACGCCGUAAACGAUGUCGACCAGCCGUUGGGUGCCUAGCGCACUUUGUGGCGAAGUUAACGCGAUAAGUCGACCGCCUGGGGAGUACGGCCGCAAGGUUAAAACUCAAAUGAAUUGACGGGGGCCCGCACAAGCGGUGGAGCAUGUGGUUUAAUUCGAUGCAACGCGAAGAACCUUACCUACCCUUGACAUCCUGCGAACGUGUGAGAGAUCACUUGGUGCCUUCGGGAGNGCAGAGACAGGUGCUGCA